rnacentral:tRNA from 1 species
GGUUGUGGCUCAGUGGUACAGUGCUUGCCUGGCAUGCAUAAGGCACUGGUUUCAAUCCUCAGAACCA